AAAAUGUGGCAACAGGAAAAGGCUUCUUUUCCAUCCUUGGCUGUUUGGUGGGAUGCGGCCCUUUCAUUGCACUUCGACUGGGUUGACUCCUGCGAUUACCCCUAAUGUGGGUAACUCGAGUGUAUAAUUUCUGGUAGUGGGGACCUGCGUUCGCGCUCGUCCCAU
rnacentral:snRNA from 1 species